rnacentral:rRNA from 1 species
AUUGAACGCUGGCGGCAGGCUUAACACAUGCAAGUCGAGCGGGGGGAGGUAGCUUGCUACCGGACCUAGCGGCGGACGGGUGAGUAAUGCUUAGGAAUCUGCCUAUUAGUGGGGGACAACAUCUCGAAAGGGAUGCUAAUACCGCAUACGUCCUACGGGAGAAAGCAGGGGAUCUUCGGACCUUGCGCUAAUAGAUGAGCCUAAGUCGGAUUAGCUAGUUGGUGGGGUAAAGGCCUACCAAGGCGACGAUCUGUAGCGGGUCUGAGAGGAUGGUCCGCCACACUGGGGCUGAGACACGUCGCAGACUCCUACAGGAGGUAGCAGUGGGGAAUAUUGUACAAUGGGGGGAACCCUGAUCCAGCCAUGCCGCGUGUGUGAAGAAGGCCUUAUGGUUGUGAAGCACUUUAAGCGAGGAGGAGGCUACCGAGAUUAAUACUCUUGGAUAGUGGACGUUACUCGCAGAAUAAGCACCGGCUAACUCUGUGCCAGCCGCCGCGGUAA